rnacentral:miRNA from 1 species
AGGUUGUUUUGUUUUGUUCU